rnacentral:lncRNA from 1 species
CAGCUAGCUGCUAAAAUCUCCUGAUUUCUAGUCUCUGUUCACUGCAAUAAACUUUUCUUUUUCUCACAAUGGAGAGCCCAUCUUAUUGACAAGUGGAUUCUGCAUAACAUUGUGGUCCCGUGACUGGGUGAGGCCCCACCUCAGGAGCCACUAAACCCACUGGUCAACAUGUUCUUCAGAUUUUGCUUCAGCAUUGCAGGCAAGCUGCUCAGCUCCAUUCUACAUGCUUCAGACCAGUGGAGCCACCUCACAAGACACAGCCAUGGAAUCCAAGACCCUUCCUAGCCAUCACUCGCAGCGGAACCACAGCCCGCUACCACUGGGACAGCUGGGACCUACGCUGCACGAGGACUCGGCCUUCCUCCCUGACACCACUGCUGUGACUGCCUGGCUCUGCUGAAAACAAGGCCCUGGCCCCACAGGUGACACAGCCGCUGCCCUGGACACUAGGCAUGGGGGUCCUGCCUUGAGAGACCCUACACUAAGCGUGCCCAACUCUGCAGGCCCCACUGAGCCUCACACCCCUGCGCUGCCUGCUCCCCGACACCACUCUGGCUCUUACCCCUCUCCUCCUCCGAGACCUCUGAGGGACUGAGGGGCUGCUGGAGGCUCAGUCAGGUGCCAGCGCCCCUGGGAGCCAGAGCUUCACCUCCAAGACUGUCAGUCUGCAAGUCAUACUUCCAUCAGGCAGACUCAAAUUCCAGAAAAUGUAUAAAUGCCUCACUUUUGUGUAUGUUUUAUUUACUUUCAGUCUGGUUUAAUCUGUUUUCAGGGCACUAUGGGUAACUUCUCCCCGGAAAGAGACCAAAUUGUUUCCUUUCUUUUCACCCUCCUCUUGUUCGAUAAUCCAUAAGAAGAGCCUAAGCACUUCCCGCCCCCUUCCCGUGCCCUUUGACCCAGUUAGCCCUCCCAUUUCUUUAACAGUGCCCCUAGGUGAUACCUCUGGUGGUCCCUCCAAGACUGCAGUUCACCCCUUCCCUGCCCCCUUCACUCUUCUCUUACAGAACCUCAUUCGGGAUGGUAACCUGCCAAUCCCAGAUGUUUCCCUAAGUUUUUCUCCCGUGUAGGAUGUCACCGCUGCCCAUUUGUCACCCCGAAGCAGCCGGUGAGAAGCUCUGCCUCCUCUCCCUUCUCUCUAUAUAACAACAAAAUGAUGGGAAUGUCAGGCCUGCCCUGAAUCAACGGGGAAAACAAACAGGCUGCUUUUAACAAAUACCAGCAGCUUCCCAUAAGUGAGUAAGUGGACUAAAACAUAGGGUCUGUCACCCCCGGUGCUGAAUAAUCUAAUCAGUGUAUACGUGCCCGAGCAGACUGUGCGGACCACCCUAAGGUGUGAGUACGUCACCCAGAUUCCUUAGCCCCUUCCGUACCUAUAUAAGCUUAGUCCCUUUCCCAGUUCAUUGCUAGUAUCUCUCCCCGCUGGUGACGUUAUUCUCUCAGGGAUGGAGUCCCUCCCUGCUAGCCACCGCUAUGUCUCUUUCCCUCCCUCCGCCAUUAGAAUCCCGACCUCAGUCUCAUUCCCUUCACUGGAAUAAACGUCUCUUUUUCUCACGACGGAGAGCGUGUCUUUUGUUAAAAGUGGGUUCUGCAUAACAUCUUUUAAAGCUU